GACGAACGCUGGCGGCGUGCUUAACACAUGCAAGUCGAACGGAAAGGCCCUGCUUUUGUGGGGUGCUCGAGUGGCGAACGGGUGAGUAACACGUGAGUAACCUGCCCUUGACUUUGGGAUAACUUCAGGAAACUGGGGCUAAUACCGGAUAGGAGCUCCUGCUGCAUGGUGGGGGUUGGAAAGUUUCGGCGGUUGGGGUUGGACUCGCGGCUUAUCAGCUUGUUGGUGGGGUAGUGGCUUACCAAGGCUUUGACGGGUAGCCGGCCUGAGAGGGUGACCGGCCACAAUGGGACUGAGAUACGCCCCAGACUCCUACGGGAGGCAGCAGUGGGGAAUAUUGCACAAUGGGCGGAAGCCUGAUGCAGCAACGCCGCGUGCGGGAUGACGGCCUUCGGGUUGUAAACCGCUUUCGCCUGUGACGAAGCGUGAGUGACGGUAAUGGGUAAAGAAGCACCGGCUAACUACGUG
rnacentral:rRNA from 1 species